UGUUAACGGGAACCGAGCUGGUUUUUCCUUGGGUAAUGAGUCCAAAAAUAGCGUUCAUUACUGGGGGUAAAUCAGCUCUGAUCUCAUGUGGAAAA
rnacentral:pre_miRNA from 13 species